UACGUAGGGUGCAGGCGUUAAUCGGAAUUACUGGGCGUAAAGCGUGCGUAGACGGUUAUCUAAGUCGGAUGUGAAAGGCCCCGGGCUCAACCUGGGAAUUGCAUUCGAGACUGAAUAGCUAGGGUGCGGUAGAGGGUAAGCGGAAUUUCCGGUGAGCGGUGAAAUGCGUAGAUAUUCGCAAGAACACCAGUGGCGAAGGCGGCUCACUGGCCCGAUACUGACGCUGAGGCACGAAAGCGUGGGGAGCAAACAGG
rnacentral:rRNA from 1 species